rnacentral:rRNA from 1 species
UGGGGAAUAUUGGACAAUGGGCGAAAGCCUGAUCCAGCGACGCCGCGUGAGUGAUGAAGGCCUUCGGGUUGUAAAGCUCUGUUGAGGGAGAAGAAAACAGUUAGAACUAAUAUGUCUAGCUCUUGACGGUAUCCCUUUAGAAAGCACCGGCUAACUCUGUGCCAGCAGCCGCGGUAAGACAGAGGGUGCAAACGUUGCUCGGAAUUACUGGGCGUAAAGCGCGUGUAGGCGGGCUUGUAAGUUGGACGUGAAAGCCCUGGGCUCAACCCAGGAAUUGCAUCCAAAACUACAAGUCUAGAGUGAUGGAGAGGGUGGCAGAAUUCCUGGUGUAGAGGUGAAAUUCGUAGAUAUCUGGAGGAACACCCGUGGCGAAGGCGGCUCUCUGGUCCGAAACUGACGCUGAGGUGCGAAAGCUAGGGUAGCAAAC